UGGCAAUGGAUCCGGGACCCGGUCCAGAUCCGCGGAUCCAGACCCUUUUUUUCGGAUUUGGACCUUGCAAAAUUUGGACCCGGCGGAUCUGGACCGGAUCUGGAGCACUCUCUAAAAAACCGGAUCCGGAUCUGGAGUAGAAGAUGUAAAACCCAGAUCCGGUCCAGAUCCGGUCCAGAUCCGGAUCUGGACCCGGUAGUAUUAAAGAUAUAAUAUUUUUAUUUUACAACCCUAGAAAGUAAAACUAGACUUCUAAAUUUUACAAUUCAAUUUCAAAGCUGCGCCGCUCAACCUAUCCUCAACCUCACCUGCGCCGCUCGCCUAUCCUCCACCCGCGCCGCUCGCCUAUCCUCCGGCCGGCGGCCGUCCACCUCCGAAUCAGCCCCUCCGGCCUUCCCCACCCGAGAGCUGCAGCGUGAGCACUGAGCAGCAGCGUGAGCAGAGCAGCAGCGUGAGGCGACGCCGCUCCAUCUACGGCCGCUCCAUCUCCGUCCAAUCCAUUUCCGGCCGCUCCAUCUCCGUCCAAUCCAUCAGCGUGGGAAUUAAAAAGACCAUCUUGUCCAAGCGCUUGGUUUGCUGGAAAUCUUAGCUCCGCGGUAGAAGGUACGAGUACCGGAGUUGCCAAAGUUGGCUCUUUCCCGUCAAGUGUUCAACCAGCGGGUGAGCCCAUUGACUUAUUUGAGUUAUGGUGAUCUCUGGGAUUUUGGUCAAAUAUGCUACUGUUGUUCAAGCCUAAACUAAAAUUUUCCCAUUCACGAGAUUACAGUUUUGCUUGAUUUGUUAGUUAAAUGUGAUUUUUGGUCAAAUAUGUGAUCUCUGGGAUUUUUGGUCAAAUAUGCUACAGAUUAAUUAACAUGUGAUUUGUUAGUUAAAUUCUAACAAAUUUGGGAUUUGUUAGUUAAAUGUGGCAAACUGGCAGUGCAGUGUAUUAGAUUAACCUUAUGUGUUCAUUUUUGCUUCAUUGUAGAAAAUGGAAGAGCAAUCCAUUAAUUCAAAUAGUGAAACUGUUCAGUCUCAAAUAGAAAAUGGAAGAGCAAUCCAUUAGGAUUAUUAUGUUUCUCGUUUUGGAUUGUUUGGUUUUAAAUGAAUUACGAUGUUCUUAUUUAUUUUGGAUUGUUUAGUUUUAAAUGGAUUAUGGUGUAUUUUGUAUUCUUGAAUGAUUGUUGAAACUUUAGACAAUUGUUAUGAUUUUUAUUUUAAUGUUUAAUUAGCUUUGAAUUUA